rnacentral:lncRNA from 10 species
GUACCCAGCAUAAGCUAGACUGGGAGGUGGGUGGCUGCACACUCAAAACUGGCUUCCAACGGGACACAGACAUCAAAACAAAGAAGAGGGCCUCACGACAGGGUUGCCUUGCUUACUCAGCCCACAGCUCUCAAACCGUUGCGCGAGGAAGAGCACGCAGGAGAACAGGUGCAGGAGCCAGAGCAAGACAUUUAGGCACUGACGGGAACAAAACUCUGCAGCCCUGUGGCAGUGUCUAAGGAGGAUGCAUGCAUUAUUCUCCACGACUGAUACAGAAGUAAAUUCCAGAAAGCUUUAAAGUCAGUUUGUAUAAAGAGGUGAGAUACAACCCCAAAUCACAUGGCUCCAAGUCAGGGUUAUUUCUGUGGAGUCAGGGUUCUCUUUGACUGUGAAACAGAAGAAAAUCUUUCCUUAACAAUAACUUACACGUGCCAUGAAAGAGAUGAAGCAGAAGAUUAAGCAGGAAACCCAGCUACUUUUUUGCCCUAAGGCAUUACUCAUUUUCCUGACACAUUAUGUUUUUAAUUAAAAUUACAUGUGAGUUAAUUAAAAU